GAUGAAGAACGUAGCGAAAUGCGAUAAGUAAUGCGAAUUGCAGAAUUUCCGUGAAUCAUCGAAUCUUUGAACGCACAUUGCGCCCGGUAGUAUUCUGCCGGGCAUGCCUGUUCGAGCGUCAUUUCAACCAUCAAGCCCCAGCGCUUGUGUUGGGGGCCUGCGGCUGCCGCAGCCCCCUAAAAGCAGUGGCGGGCUCGCUAUCACACCGAGUGCAGUAGUUCAUCUUCUCUCCGGUCUUGUGAGGCGGGUUCCGGCCGUGAAACACCCCACUACAUUCAAGGUUGACCUCGGAUCAGGUAGGAAUACCCGCUGAACUUAAGCAUAUCAAUAAGCGGAGGA
rnacentral:misc_RNA from 1 species